rnacentral:lncRNA from 1 species
CCCACUCACCGCCUGAGUGUGGGUGGGUUCGUCCUCGCUGUCCAACCAGGCGUCCAGCAGCGUCUCGAAGGGAAACUCCGGGUCCCGGAGGUGUACCCUCGGAAGGAUCGUCCCGGCAUCCUCCCUGUCACAGUUGGCAACCUCGUUGGCGCCAAACUUGGCGAUCCAGACUUCGAGCGCCCCGAACUUCCUCACCAAGUCGGAUAAGAACGGGAUCAGCAGGGAGACGUCCGUGCGGUCCACUUCCGCGGCCUGCAGCUCGAACCGAGGCAGCAGGUCGCGCAGCUCUUUGCUAACCACACCGAAUCUCGAGGACGAGAUUCAUCUUAAGGGGGUUAGGUCUGUAACAUCCCAAAAUUUCAAACUUUUACAUGUGCAUUGCAUCCAUGAGCAUCAUGCCACAAUUGCAUAUUUGAAUUCAAAUUUUGAAUCUCAAAAGGGCUCUAAAAGACUUUGUUUACACCCAUUUAAGCCUUGGAUUUUCAAACCAAUAGGGUUUAUGUAUAAAAGGGGUUUAAUGCAUAUAUAAGCUCUCCCAUAAUUUCUGGUUAAUUAUUUGGAGUUGAAAAGUAUUUUAUUCAAAUAGAUAUAUAGCCCUAAAGGCAUUUAUAGGGCAAAUUUAUUUUUAUAUAUUUUAUUUUGAGGGAAACUACUCCCAAAAGUUGUAUCUUGGUAGAACAUGAUUUUACAAAUUUGCUGGGAUUUAUUUGGACCAAUUUGGAGUUCAAACUCAAAAGAUAUCAAAGAAAUGAGAAAAAUAGAAAAAGAAAAGGCAAAAAAGAAAAAAAAGGGGGUAAACCGGACCGGCCCGGCCACUUUGGGCCGAACCGGCCCAGUCCGACCGCGCCCGACCGCGACGUGCGCCGGCCCAGCCAGCCCGGCAGCCCCGCGCGCGCGCCCCGCACCUGCUGAC